GACGUAGGGGGCGAGCGUUGUCCGGAUUUAUUGGGCGUAAAGCGCGCGUAGGCGGCCGCGUUAGUCGGAUGUGAAAACCCGGGGCUCAACCCCGGGCCGUCAUUCGAUACUGCGUGGCUAGAGGCAGGUAGGGGAGAUCGGAAUUCCUGGAGUAGCGGUGAAAUGCGCAGAUAUCAGGAGGAACACCGGUGGCGAAGGCGGAUCUCUGGGCCUGUCCUGACGCUGAGGCGCGAAAGCUAGGGGAGCGAACAGG
rnacentral:rRNA from 1 species